UACGUAGGGGGCUAGCGUUGUCCGGAAUCAUUGGGCGUAAAGCGCGCGUAGGCGGCCCGAUCAGUCCGCUGUAAAAGUCCAGGGCUCAACCCUGGAAAGCCGGUGGAUACUGUCGGGCUUGAGUACGGAAGAGGCGAGUGGAAUUCCUGGUGUAGCGGUGAAAUGCGCAGAUAUCAGGAGGAACACCAAUUGCGAAGGCAGCUCGCUGGGACGUUACUGACGCUGAGACGCGAAAGCGUGGGGAGCAAACAGG
rnacentral:rRNA from 1 species